rnacentral:lncRNA from 1 species
CAGAAAGAGAAACUUCCAUUGCUAACAUGAAGCCAAAUUGUCCUAAACAUAGCAAGCGAUUUUUGCAGCAACGCUGCUGCCGCUGGAACUGAACCUGAAGAACUCAAAUGCGGGCGGUGGAUUAUUUCUUAUCCCUCCUCCAUCUACCCCACACAAGAGCUGCUUUUUGUUCCUCUUUUUGCCAAGUUCCAAGGAGUCUUGAGACUUCUCUUCUUUUGGUGUGGAUUCCGGAACUCCUUUCUGAAGCAAGAGGCAAAUAUCUCUCAGCAGAGAAUGCCAAGACCAAUCACUUAACCAUGGCAAUCUUACUCAGCAUGGUAAUUCCCACCCUGAUGGUCCCAAGAUGGCUGCAGCAGUUUCAGCCAUGUUAUCCUAAUCCACCAACAUCUGGAGGUAUCUGUCUUUUCAAUCUCCAUCUAUUACAAAUGUAGGAUACUUUUACCAGAAGGUCCUCCUCUAGACUACUACUCAUGUUUCAUUGGACAAAUUUGGUCCCAUGGAAUUUCUUAAGUCAUUUACUGAUGAGGAAAGUGGAAUUAUCAUGACUGGAUUAGACUACCUAAGAUUCACCACUCCUGAGCCUGGAGAAAGAUAAUUUUCUCAGAGCAAACAACUGCAUAUGGCUGAAGAUAGGAAUGAACUAUAAAACAAAAUUGGAGUCCUCCAGGAAAGAAAGGGGGAAUUAAAGGGAAAUGAUUGUGUAGGCAAAACACAAUAGUCUCCAAUGCCAAAUAAACUUUGUUUUGUUACUCUCUC